rnacentral:hammerhead_ribozyme from 1 species
AUCUUACUGACGAGUGCCAAACAACAUGAAACUUAAAUCCAAGAU